GUUAGCUUCUUCUACUGGUUUAAUGCCUCAAGGGGUUAGCUCCUCCUGGUGGGUUGGGGCCUCAAGGAUCAAUUUAUUCUAGUGGAUUCACAAGCAUGAAUCCAUUUUCACCUAUCCUCACUAAUGUAAGUCAACAACUAUCUUUGUUGUCACCACCACCACCACCACCUCCACCACCACAAAAACAA